UCGCGAAAACUCCGCAAUACACGAAAGUGUGACGGGGCCAUCCCGAGUGCCGUCCGCUGAGGACGGCUUUUCCCUAGUGUACACAGCUGGGGGAAUAAGGAGAGGGCAAGCCUGGUGUCAGCCGCCGCGGUAAUACCAGCUCUCCGAGUGGUGGGGACGCUUAUUGGGCCUAAAGCAUCCGUAGCCGGCUGGGCAAGUCCUCCGUUAAAUCCAACGAUUCAAUCGUUGGGCUGCGGGGGAUACUGUCCAGCUUGGGGGCGGGAGAGGCCGACGGUAUUCCCGGGGUAGGGGUGAAAUCCUAUAAUCCCGGGAGGACCACCAGUGGCGAAGGCUGUCGGCUAGAACGCGCCCGACGGUGAGGGAUGAAAGCUGGGGGAGCGAACCGGAUUAGAUACCCGGGUAGUCCCAGCUGUAAACGAUGCAGGCUAGGUGUCAGAACGGCCACGAGCCGUUCUAGUGCCGCAGGGAAGCCGUUAAGCCUGCCGCCUGGGGAGUACGGCCGCAAGGCUGAAACUUAA
rnacentral:rRNA from 1 species